rnacentral:rRNA from 2 species
AGAUUUACUUCGGUAAUGACGCUGGGGACGCGAGCGGCGGAUGGGUGAGUAACACGUGGGGAACCUGCCCCAUAGCCUGGGAUACCACUUGGAAACAGGUGCUAAUACCGGAUAAGAAAGCAGAUCGCAUGAUCAGCUUAUAAAAGGCGGCGUAAGCUGUCGCUAUGGGAUGGCCCCGCGGUGCAUUAGCUAGUUGGUAAGGUAACGGCUUACCAAGGCAAUGAUGCAUAGCCGAGUUGAGAGACUGAUCGGCCACAUUGGGACUGAGACACGGCCCAAACUCCUACGGGAGGCAGCAGUAGGGAAUCUUCCACAAUGGACGCAAGUCUGAUGGAGCAACGCCGCGUGAGUGAAGAAGGUUUUCGGAUCGUAAAGCUCUGUUGUUGGUGAAGAAGGAUAGAGGUAGUAACUGGCCUUUAUUUGACGGUAAUCAACCAGAAAGUCACGGCUAACUACGUGCCAGCAGCCGCGGUAAUACGUAGGUGGCAAGCGUUGUCCGGAUUUAUUGGGCGUAAAGCGAGCGCAGGCGGAAGAAUAAGUCUGAUGUGAAAGCCCUCGGCUUAACCGAGGAACUGCAUCGGAAACUGUUUUUCUUGAGUGCAGAAGAGGAGAGUGGAAUUCCAUGUGUAGCGGUGGAAUGCGUAGAUAUAUGGAAGAACACCAGUGGCGAAGGCGACUCUCUGGUCUGCAACUGACGCUGAGGCUCGAAAGCAUGGGUAGCGAACAGGAUUAGAUACCCUGGUAGUCCAUGCCGUAAACGAUGAGUGCUAAGUGUUNNNGGUUUCCGCCUCUCAGUGCUGCAGCUAACGCAUUUAAGCACUCCGCCUGGGGAGUACGACCGCAAGGUUGAAACUCAAAGGAAUUGACGGGGGCCCGCACAAGCGGUGGAGCAUGUGGUUUAAUUCGAAGCAACGCGAAGAACCCUUACCAGGUCUUGACAUCUAGUGCCAUCCUAAGANAUUNNNNUUCCCUUCGGGGANGCUAAGACAGGUGGUG